AGUGAACGCUGGCGGUAGGCCUAACACAUGCCAGUCGAACGGCAGCACAGUAAGAGCUUGCUCUUACGGGUGGCGAGUGGCGGACGGGUGAGGAAUACAUCGGAAUCUACUUUUUCGUGGGGGAUAACGUAGGGAAACUUACGCUAAUACCGCAUACGACCUACGGGUGAAAGCAGGGGAUCUUCGGACCUUGCGCGAUUGAAUGAGCCGAUGUCGGAUUAGCUAGUUGGCGGGGUAAAGGCCCACCAAGGCGACGAUCCGUAGCUGGUCUGAGAGGAUGACCAGCCACACUGGAACUGAGACACGGUCCAGACUCCUACGGGAGGCAGCAGUGGGGAAUAUUGGACAAUGGGCGCAAGCCUGAUCCAGCCAUACCGCGUGGGUGAAGAAGGCCUUCGGGUUGUAAAGCCCUUUUGUUGGGAAAGAAAAGCAGCAGGUUAAUACCCCGCUGUUCUGACGGUACCCAAAGAAUAAGCACCGGCUAACUUCGUG
rnacentral:rRNA from 1 species